rnacentral:lncRNA from 1 species
UUCACUGUGGGGCUGUUCCGUUAUUUUUUUUUUGUUUUGCAGGUUCCCAAGAGAAGCGACUGAUUCCACCGCCUUUUUCGCGUUGAAAGACACAUGGAAAAUCGUAGGCCACCCGGGCGAAAAGUCAGCAGCACAUACCGCGUUCACUACCGGGACGCUACGGCUUGGGCCAAGCGCCCACGGAUGAAAGACAUGUCGCGUCUUAUUGACUCUGAGGUAGAUCCUUUUCCCUGCCACGGAAAACUGUCCGUCUCUGCAGGAAACAAAGACACAUGAGUGGUUUUUCUCGUGGACAGACAGCGCGACACACCCAUCGUGCCCCUCUCCACUCCUGUUCACUAGUAGUGUUCGUCCGGUCGAAAGUAAACCAUGUUACCAAGGAAGUACCACAAAGAGAUGCCUUGUAGAUUUUAGGUGUCUUAGAUCAGGCAGCACCCUCAUCGUUGGCUUCCCUGUUUUGCUGAAACUGAACCGUUGGUGAUGCAGAACUGUUUUUUCCGCGUUUGACCCAACUCAAUCAUUGUUCGUUUUCCUUGCGUUCUCGGCUUCAGCCUCACACUAGCCGCCGAGAAACCCGAUACAAAGCUCACUUUGAUCACUCCUGAUGAGCAACAGAUGAAGCAGAGUGCGGUAUCCCCUUUGCCUCCUCCAGAAAAUGUCGAGAACUCGACAACGGUCCGGUGCUCGCAGGUACUGCUGCGACUUCUAAGUGUGCACUUGCGACAUUCCUGUCAAGCCCCUUCUUCCAGGUAGACUUCAUGGAACACUUCCAUUUCGCAUGCUAGAUUGACAACUCUCUGCGAAGAAACACUCCUCCAAGAUAUUGCUGACUAUAGCAGGUUGGGUUUGUGUCCCGUCACUCUACGCAGAUACGAAGUGGCUUCCUCGGUGUUACUACGCACAGCGUGUGAAACUCCAGUCACAAGGAACAGGUUUGAGUUUUCCUAAUGCAUAUCAUGAAACGAACACAUUUCCAGCUUGACAGACUUCUUUCGAACGUUUCUCACAUCGCGGUAAAUCUUGAACGUAAUUUUGAGGCUCGUUAUGCGCUGUGGAAAGUAAUUUCGUCCAAAACCGUCA